UCCUCCAACAAACCAAAACCCUCACCCUAUACUGAAUGAUUCUAUAACCCGUAUAGAAAACUAUAUGCUAGAACUAGUAAUAAGAAGAAGACCUUCUCCAAAAUAUAAGUGUGAGCCGAAAUGAACAACUCAUCGGCACUUAACGCAAUUGAACCAACAGUAGUAACAUUACAAGAAAACCCUACCUCAACAUGCGUCAAUCUUACACUAGCGUAUUUCUGGAAAGAUUAAAAGAAAAGGAAGGAACUCGGCAAACUACUAACCCCGCCUGUUUACCAAAAACAUCGCCUCUUGAAAAAAUAUAAGAGGUCCAGCCUGCCCAGUGACAAAGUUAAACGGCCGCGGUACCCUAACCGUGCGAAGGUAGCGCAAUCACUUGUUCUUUAAAUGAGGACUAGUAUGAAUGGCAUCACGAGGGUUAUACUGUCUCCCUUUUCCAAUCAAUGAAACUGACCUCCCCGUGAAGAGGCGGGGAUGACACUAUAAGACGAGAAGACCCCAUGGAGCUUAAAACUCAGUACCAAUUACCUAAACCACAUUUCAUCUUAACCAGGUAAUUAUGGCCCCUAGUUUUCGGUUGGGGUGACCGCGGAGUAAAAUGAAACCUCCACGAUGAACGGACCAACGCUCCUAAUCAUAGAACCACAGCUCAAAGAAUCAAAAAAUUGACAAAAAUUGAUCCAAUUAAUUUUGAUCAACGAACCAAGUUACCCUGGGGAUAACAGCGCAAUCCACUUCAAGAGCUCCUAUCGACAAGUGGGUUUACGACCUCGAUGUUGGAUCAGGGUAUCCCAGUGGUGCAGCCGCUACUAAAGGUUC
rnacentral:rRNA from 1 species